GAUGAACGCUGGCGGCGUGCCUAAUACAUGCAAGUCGAGCGAAUGGAUUAAGAGCUUGCUCUUAUGAAGUUAGCGGCGGACGGGUGAGUAACACAUGGGUAACCUGCCCAUAAGACUGGGAUAACUCCGGGAAACCGGGGCUAAUACCGGAUAACAUUUUGAACCGCAUGGUUCGAAAUUGAAAGGCGGCUUCGGCUGUCGCUUAUGGAUGGACCCGCGUCGCAUUAGCUAGUUGGUGAGGUAACGGCUCACCAAGGCAACGAUGCGUAGCCGACCUGAGAGGGUGAUCGGCCACACGGGGACUGAGACACGGCCCAGACUCCUACGGGAGGCAGCAGUAGGGAAUCUUCCGCAAUGGACGAAAGUCUGACGGAGCAACGCCGCGUGAGUGAUGAAGGCUUUCGGGUCGUAAAACUCUGUUGUUAGGGAAGAACAAGUGCUAGUUGAAUAAGCUGGCACCUUGACGGUACCUAACCAGAAAGCCACGGCUAACUACGUGCCAGCCGCCGCCGUAA
rnacentral:rRNA from 1 species